AUUGGACGAUAUACUACGGGUGAA
rnacentral:siRNA from 1 species